AGUAACAACCCCACUCCUCGCACCAGGUGUCUGCACUAAUUACUCUUCCUCAUUGUUGUUACCUGUCGAAAAGCAAUUUGAGAAAGGAAGGGUUUAUUUGGGCUUACAGUCCAUGAGGCAUGACAACAAGAGCAUUAGGCAGCUUGUCACAAUGUGUGCAGUGAGGAAGAGAGUUCACAGAUCACCGAAACUGAAAAGAUAUUUCUCCAAAGAAGAACGACUAACAAGUAUUUGGGGGAGGGAGUUCAAUUUCACCGAUCAAUAGGGAAAUGGAAAUUAAAACUAUGAGACACCACACCACACCGUACCUGUUGGGAAGCCCUGAAGAUAAGUGUUGGCAAGGGGGUGGAGAAUAGGGAUCCCUUAAGCAUU
ensembl:lincRNA